ensembl:lncRNA PKD1P6-NPIPP1 PKD1P6-NPIPP1 readthrough
CUCUGCCCUCAUGCGCAUCCUCACGCGCUCCCGCGUGCUCAACGAGGAGCCCCUGACACUGGCGGGCGAGGAGAUCGUGGCCCAGGGCAAGCGCUCGGACCCGCGGAGCCUGCUGUGCUAUGGCGGCGCCCCAGGGCCUGGCUGCCACUUCUCCAUCCCCUAGGCUUUCAGCAGGGCCCCGGCUAACCUCAGUGACGUGGUGCAGCUCAUCUUUCUGGUGGACUCCAAUCCCUUUCCCUUUGGCUAUAUCAGCAACUACACCGUCUCCACCAAGGUGGCCUCGAUGGCGUUCCAGACACAGGCCGGCGCCCAGAUCCCCAUCGAGCGGCUGGCCUCAGAGCGCGCCAUCACCGUGAAGGUGCCCAACAACUCGGACUGGGCUGCCCGGGGCCACCGCAGCUCUGCCAACUCCGUUGUGGUCCAGCCCCAGGCCUCCGUCGGUGCUGUGGUCACCCUGGACAGCAGCAACCCUGCGGCCGUGCUGCAUCUGCAGCUCAACUAUACGCUGCUGGACGGCCGCUACCUGUCUGAGGAACCCGAGCCCUACCUGGCAGUCUACCUGCACUCGGAGCCCCGGCCCAAUGAGCACAACUGCUCGGCUAGCAGGAGGAUCCGCCCAGAGUCCCUCCAGGGUGCCGACCACCGGCCCUACACCUUCUUCAUUUCCCCGGGGACCAGAGACCCAGUGGGGAGUUACCGUCUGAACCUCUCCAGCCACUUCCGCCUGUCGGCGCUGGAGGUGUCCGUGGGCCUGUACACGUCCCUGUGCCAGUACUUCAGCGAGGAGGACGUGGUGUGGCGGACAGAGGGGCUGCUGCCCCUGGAGGAGACCUCGCCCCGCCAGGCCGUCUGCCUCACCCGCCACCUCACCGCCUUCGGCGCCAGCCUCUUCGUGCCCCCAAGCCAUGUACGCUUUGUGUUUCCUGAGCCGACAGCGGAUGUAAACUACAUCGUCAUGCUGACAUGUGCUGUGUGCCUGGUGACCUACAUGGUCAUGGCCGCCAUCCUGCACAAGCUGGACCAGUUGGAUGCCAGCCGGGGCCGCGCCAUCCCCUUCUGUGGGCAGCGGGGCCGCUUCAAGUACGAGAUCCUCGUCAAGACAGGCUGGGGCCGGGGCUCAGGUACCACGGCCCACGUGGGCAUCAUGCUGUAUGGGGUGGACAGCCGGAGCGGCCACCGGCACCUGGAUGGCGACAGAGCCUUCCACCGCAACAGCCUGGACAUCUUCCGGAUCGCCACCCCGCACAGCCUGGGUAGCGUGUGGAAGAUCCGAGUGUGGCACGACAAAGGGCUCAGCCCUGCCUGGUUCCUGCAGCACGUCAUCAUCAGGGACCUGCAGACGGCACACAGCACCUUCUUCCUGGUCAAUGACUGGCUUUCGGUGGAGACGGAGGCCAACGGGGGCCUGGUGGAGAAGGAGGUGCUGGCCGCGAGUCACGCAGCCCUGUUGCGCUUCCGGCGCCUGCUGGUGGCUGAGCUGCAGUGCGGCUUCUUUGACAAGCACAUCUGGCUCUCCAUAUGGGACCGGCCGCCUCGUAGCUGUUUCACUCGCAUCCAGAGGGCCACCUGCUGCGUUCUCCUCAUCUGCCUCUUCCUGGGCGCCAACGCCGUGUGGUACGGGGCUGUUGGUGACUCUGCCUACAGCACGGGGCAUGUGUCCAGGCUGAGCCCGCUGAGCGUCGACACAGUCGCUGUUGGCCUGGUGUCCAGCGUGGUUGUCUAUCCCGUCUACCUGGCCAUCCUCUUUCUCUUCUGGAUGUCCCGGAGCAAGGUGGCUGGGAGCCCGAGCCCCACACCUGCCGGGCAGCAGGUGCUGGACAUCGACAGCUGCCUGGACUCGUCCGUGCUGGACAGCUCCUUCCUCACGUUCUCAGGCCUCCACGCUGAGGUUAUCAAUACUCUGGCUGACCAUCGUCAUCGUGGGACUGACUUUGGUGGAAGUCCUUGGUUACUUAUCAUUACUGUGUUUCUGAGAAGUUAUAAAUUUGCCAUCUCCCUCUGCACAACUUACCUUUGGGUUAUCAAUACUCUGGCUGACCAUCGUCAUCGUGGGACUGACUUUGGUGGAAGUCCUUGGUUACUUAUCAUUACUGUGUUUCUGAGAAGUUAUAAAUUUGCCAUCUCCCUCUGCACAACUUACCUUUGUGUGUCUUUCCUGAAGACUAUCUUCCCGUCUCAAAAUGGACAUGAUGGAUCCACGGAUGUACAGCAGAGAGCCAGGAGGUCCAACCGCCGUAGACAGGAAGGAAUUAAAAUUGUCCUGGAAGACAUCUUUACUUUAUGGAGACAGGUGGAAACCAAGGUUCGAGCUAAAAUCCGUAAGAUGAAGGUGACAACAAAAGUCAACCGUCAUGACAAAAUCAAUGGAAAGAGGAAGACCGCCAAAGAACAUCUGAGGAAACUAAGCAUGAAAGAACGUGAGCACGGAGAAAAGGAGAGGCAGGUGUCAGAGGCAGAGGAAAAUGGGAAAUUGGAUAUGAAAGAAAUACACACCUACAUGGAAAUGUUUCAACGUGCGCAAGCGUUGCGGCGGCGGGCAGAGGACUACUACAGAUGCAAAAUCACCCCUUCUGCAAGAAAGCCUCUUUGCAACCGGGGACAAUUCCAAAUGAGGGCCUUAAAUGAUGCUCAGCUAAGCUGGUUCUUGUGUGGCCUCUGUACCUUCAAAAGCUGCCGAGUCCUAUGAUUACACGCGAUGGGACUUGUACACUUGAAGUGAAACACAGUUUUAAAACUUGCUUUGUUUAGAAUUCCCACCUCAUUUUUCCAUGGACAAAAGUAUUCUUUAUGUCCUAGUGCACUUACAAUUUGGUAUUACCUGGGAGUGAAAAGAAAUAUUACAGCCAUGCCUAACUGACUUCUUGAGGUCAGAAUGGCGGCAGCGGAGCAUCGUCAUUCUUCA